GAGCAUACGCAUCGGUAGCUGUGCGGAUCACACACACACACACACACACACACAGACACAGAGAACAAGCAAAGACGGGAAGGCUCAGCACCGAAGAAAUAGGCAGCAGCGACGUGGGACCACGUGACCCAAACUCGCCGAACAGGACAGCGCGCACGUUCACACAAAGCCUUCCUCUCGGACAACAAGGACAGAAGCUACCAUCUACAUCUAUCUAACAUAUCUAUCUGUCUAUAUAGAUAAAGGAGGAGGGGUGGGGGAGGCUGAUCUGCAGAGUCGUGUGUAGCGCUUCUGUUUGAGUUUGGUUCCUUCGACGACUGCCGCGCUGCGCGUCUUUCUCUCUCGCCCUUUGCAUCGCUUCCUUCUUGGAUUCUCACACCCAUGCGCACGGGUGCGUGUGCAUGCAGAGAGGAAGAAGAGCAGAGGGAGGAGGGGACAUCCUCAUCCAUACAGGACAGAGGUGAUCGGCUUCUCUUUUUCUUUGGCGUUCACACCGUCGGUGCCGCCUCGCUUCCGCUUCUCCGUGGCUGCACGUCCUUCUCGGCACUCCUCAACCCGUGCGCGACCUUUUCUCUUUUUCUUCCGUCUUUCCGGUGCUCUGGCCGUGACUCCUCUCGUGCGGCCACCCCCCCCCCCUCCCCCUCCCCCGCACACCCGAAAGCGGUGUCCCUGUUCCUCGCUUGCUCACACGCACUCUUCGACAACACACACACACACACACGCAUAUAUAUAAACUAUAUAUAACUAUAUAUAUAUAUAGUUAUAUGUAUAUAUGGGUGUGUCUAUAAUCGUUUCCUGAAAUCCCUUUUCAAGUCGCUCCACGUUUGUUGUUGUCCUUCCGUUGCGUCCCGUCGUCUUCUCUGUGCCUGUCUCUGUCUCGCUCUGUGUGUGUGCCGUGGGCUGCUGUCGGCUUCCCCAACAACGCAGUUCACACAUAUAUCCAUAUAUAUAUAUAUAUAUAUAUACACAUAUAUAUCUAUAGAUAGAUACAUAUAUAUUCUGUGCUCUUCCCCCUUUUUUGCGUUUCCUCUGGUGUCCGCUGAGCCACGCCAUUCUUCAUCAUCCGUCGUCGUCUGUUUUCUUUUUCCUGUGCCCACACCCGCCCUGCCCCUACUUACGUUCGCUUCCCUUCGUUUUCUUUCUUCGUUGCUUUCGUCACUGGUGGUGUUGGUGGUGUUGGUGGUGGUGGUGUGUGUGUGUGUGUCCUCGUGUACACCGAUACACACACCUUCACACUUCCUCAGUGAGCCAGCGGUGUCUGCUUUGGGUGUCUGUGUCUGUGUGCGCGACUCACGCGCGACCGCAGGGUUGAUUCACUCACCACUGCUACACCUCCCCCUUUUCUGCUUUCUCUCUUUUUUUCUGUGCGCUCCUCACCGCAGCCCUUCGGACGCCCGCUUCCUCCCCUUCAGCGGCAGCAGCAGCAGAAGGCUCCAGGUGUGCCGUUAUUGUGUUCCUUGCAGAUUGCAGGCCUUCUCCGGCGUUUCCUCCGCACCGAGUUGGAGUGUGGCCUUCCUCAAGACCACCGCGCCCAUCACCAUCCCUGAGCAAAGGCACCCCCACCUCGUGCCAUCUGGAGUGAUGCUACGACAGACCGCAUCGGCUAACGCACACCCGUGCCAAAGGAUAGCACCCAGCACAGCGAUCGAGGAGGCUGGCAACGCGUGCGAGGACGAUAACAGGGAGAACCAAAACAGGAAUGGCGCCAAUCACCACCCUAGAGCCGCAGCCGAUGUGCUUCAGAAACGGAAGGAAGCCCUAGCACCGGCACUGCCAUCUCUGCCUCGGCACGUCACCGAGGGAUCGACCUCACUCUAUUCCUCAUUCUCUAGCAGCGUCUCUUCGCUUGAGAAGCGCGCCGAUGCUGCCGCCGUAGCGAACACCGCUGCGGUCGCCGUCGCUCCGAGCCCGUUCUCCGUGGUAUCUCACAUCCCGACACGGAUGAAUAGUGGCAUGGACAGAGCUGCACUCCUAACACGCGAUCCGCGCUUGUUAAUGCCACCGCUGCGCCACAACGAAACAAACUCAACCGCUGUGUCACCACAGCUGAACGGAGGCGGGAUGGAUGCUACGAUGUCGAGCGAUCAGCUGCAUCUGCUACCCAUCCCAAGGUCGCUCCCCUACACAUCACCAGCGGGGUGCACCCUCGUCGCUGACGUCGGGACCGCUUCCCCACUCUUUAUCGACUUGAACUCGCUUCAACUGACCGGCAUGCUGGAAAGCGCACCUGCUUGUGCCUCUGCUGCUGCGGAAGCCGCAACCGCUGCUGCACCAGCUGCUCAGCCAUCUGUCGUGCCGGUGCCACGGACACCACCGGCGCUAGGCACGCUGGUCGUCGACACGGAUGAACACGCCGGUGCUAGCAUGACACCUCCCACGGAUUCCGCUAUCGGUGGAUCGGCUUCUGCCCCCGUGUCGACAACAGCGGUUGACCGUGUGAAUGGCAAGGCCCACGCCUCACGCAGCUCGCGCACCCAAGUACAUUGCCCGCCCACUGCAGCGGCAGCGCUACCCUUUUACUCCAACGGUGCGAGUGACGGUGUUUCCUUAGCUGACCCUCCCGUUGCGGCGGCAGUUGCCCUGCAUCUACUGCCGCCUUCUUUUGGUGCCAUCACCGCAGCCGACACGAGCCACCUCACGCCAGCAACACAGAGCGCCGGCGAAGGAGAGUGUCUGCCGUCAUGCUUCAGCGGACAUCGUACGACUUCCAGCGCGCCCGACUUCCAACCGUCUUCUUUGACCCAUGUCACCCAUACUGCCUUGUCCUCGCUUGGAUUGCCGUCAGAAAAGUCGCUAGCCGCUGGUGCCACCGCCACUUCCGUGACUUCCGAACAUGGGCCAGCGGAGAAGGGAAGCGGGUGGAACGGCAAAUACGGAGACGAGCCCGCUCCGCGGUGCCGCAUGACAGCCGUGCUGGAAACUAAGACGACGCCUCUGAGUGCCCUGGCGUCAGACAUCCACCGUGAGCAUCCUCGGGCUCUCUCUGCACCUGCAGCCGCAACGGCACAGCAGCGUGGAGUGCGGAGGAGCAAUACCCACCGAAAUGUGCUUGACAGCCGCUGCCCUUUUCACGGCGGUACGCGGGGGCCGCCGUCGGUGUCGAUUAAUGAGGCUCUUGCAGAUGCCCUCCUUCUCCGUUGCGCGGCAUCAGAUGCGGUGGCGGAUACUGUGAUGUCGAUACCGCCGCUGGCCGCCUCUGCUCGACAGGAUUCGACAGACACUGCUUUCCGGCAGCUGGCCGCUCGCCGCCAUCAGGUCUCGCCUCCGCCAGCGCAGCCGCCGCUGCAAGAGCCCGAGGCACUGCUACCGCCACCGACGACCAGGGCGCCAAUGCAGCUUUCUGCGUCCUUCCCUGCUGGAGAGGUGCUGUCGCUGGACGGUACGCUGCGGAGCUGCGCCGACGACGCUGCCUUGGUUUCGAACAUGAGCAAGGAAUUGCCCUUGUCAACCACCGUGGCCUUUGCUGCCACGGCUGGAACAACGGCUUCUGCCCCCUUGUUUGACUCUCCUGCGGGCGUGGCAGGGGAGUUCUCCGCGAUGCGGAGGCGCGCAUACGGUGGCGUGCGGCCAGCGCCACCUGUCCAGCAGGCGCGGUUUGCAAAGCAAAACCCGCCGUGCUCGGCUCUCUCGAUGCGCCCAGAUGUGUUUCAACAUGGCGCUGACGCAAGGGCUGCUGCCGCACCUGCGACGCCCGCCGAUGGACGCACGGUCUCGACCUCGCCGCAGCGAGCUGCCCGCACUGCCGCCUCCAGUCAGGGGGGCGGCGUGCUUCCGCGCGACGACGGCACAGCAGCCCUGCAGCUGGUGCUGACCACGUCGCAGGAGUUUCUUGUGCCCUCUGAUCAGCGCAUGGGUGGCGGUGUGCCCGACGCACCACCGGCGGCGACAAUGGAAGCGGAGCCAGAACGGUACCCGCAGGCCUUAUGCGACAACCCUCCUGGGCAAGCAGCAGACACCGCCUCGCAGCUGCCCCAUCCCGCAAGCGAAAGCGUGACUGCCGUCCUCCAGCUGCCCGUGAACGCUGCUGCGUCUCCAGCAAAUCUCGUUGCCAACUCGCAAGCGCUCUCGGCGAACACCAGCAAGGAUCCUGUGGCGCGGAGCAGUGCGGCAGCACAACAGGCACCCUCACCUUCGCCCGCACCACAGCCUCCAACUGCGCAGAGAGAACUCGCGGCCUUGCAUGUGCUGCCCAUGCCCCGCAUCGCAGAGACUGCUCGUGCCACACAGCGGCACACGACGGUGUCGCUGUCUCGCUCUGUGGAGCGCUAUCCGGCAGUUUCAGGAGGAGCAGGCGAAGCACGUGGCGGCGCCAUCAUGUCACCUUGCCCAUCCGCGGCGUCUGUGAUGAGCAUUAACGUUAACACGAUUGCGGCCUCCCCUCACGCGCGCGCUUCAGCGUUCGAGCGGCGAGAUGCACCGAGCACGCCGAGAAGUACGAGCCACCAACGCAGCUCCACCAGCGUCAGGAACGAGCCUCGCGGUGUCGCGCGUAUCAUGUUGUCUGUCUCAGCAGCCCCGCUGUACUCCUUCGCGCACGUCACUCAUGGCGAGCAAGCGCAGACGGAGCCGUGCCGUCUUUUCAUGUGCUCCUCACCACCUCCUCGGCCACCUCCGCGUCGGGCAGCACACACGGCACCACUCCCCGUCUGUAUUACUGCUGCUUCUGCCGCCGCGUCAUCGUCGACUUCUUCUGAGACGACGCCACUGUGCAGGCCGGCGGAUGUGAGAGACGCAGUGGCAGAGGAUGGAGCCCUGCCCAUCAUACCAGCUACCAUCGACACGGCGGGCAGCAACGCAUCUUCGCUGGCGGCGAGUGAGCUGCUGGGUGUGCUGAAGGACUGGACUCCGACUCAACUAGCGGUGUCGCAGCCACUGCCAGCAUCUCAGCGAGCAGCAGCGGUGGUGGUGGUGGCGCCGGGUGCGGAUGUGGAGAAACCAUCGACAAGGGAGACACCUCUUCCCACUGCCGCCAACCCUGCAACGCAGGCGGAGGCUCUCGACACGCGCGCGAAGGUGCUUACCCGCACAACUCGUGCCAGUGACAUCGCCGAGACAGCAGCGAACUUGCGACAUAGAGACGCACGCGGCUUUUCUGCUGCGGCUUCUCCUGUCCAUCACAAUUGCCGAGGUUUACGUGUGGCGCUUCAGCGUGAUGACAGGCGUGGCACUGUAUUCGCUGCGGAAACGCCGCCCACAUCGCUACCGACACAUGUCGUGCCUGUCGCGGACAACCUGCUCAAGCACCCCACCACUGCCCCGCCAGAGCGCCGAGCUCGAGGAGGAGAGCUGUCAUCAUCGAUGGCCCCCAUCACUCGCCUGCCAGCAUCGGAGAGUGCGACUGCGACGCCGUUUGCAUGGAAUGGUAUGACAGCCGCAGGGGCACGGUCGAGGUUGCAGACCACAACAGCAACGCUAUACGCAGCAGCUGCCGCAAACGUGACGAAUGCCCUGCCAUUGUCAUCGGGCCCUUCCUGGGAGAGGAUGGAGCCGCUGCCCGUGGGCCAUCUUGCAUCUGCCACGCCAACUGUCACCCCGCUAAUGGCACGCACGCUUCCGUUGCAUUCAGUUCCGGCGAAGACGGCUGGAACGCGGCUUGCCAUCCCUCACUGCGUGCCAACGCCGCCCUCGCUUCCGUUGUCCUUCCAACAGCAGUGCACCCCUCGAGGGGCGGUCUUUACAAGUCUCAAGGCUGCCUCGCGGCAGCACCCUUCGCAGCCGGCGGCUCCGGGGCGCUUUCGCCAGCCCCCCGCACCUACCAUGCCGCGCCAACGAGAAGAAAGGGUACGCAACGGGUCUGCGAGUGGUGAAGCUCUCGCUACGCCCCCACAUACCCUGAUUGCCCAGCAGCUCGCCGGCGGCGCCGCGACCAGUACGUCCCACCAAGGUGAGGUGGUGUGGGAGGUGUUGCCUGGUACUCACAGCAGCAGCUGCGACUGGCCAAACCCGGCGCCGUCGUGCCCCUCCUCCGUAGCCUCCAGCCGCCUCCAGCGCCAUCAGCUGCAGGCGGGGUGGCGCAGCGGGCUGCCCCGCUCCCUGCCCUUCGUUGAUCUGACACGUGAUUCGAUGCCCAUAGAGAUGCUCGGCCCAAAACCAGAGGCAGCCAUGCGCCACAGGCCGUUCUCAACCGAGCUCGGCGGUGGUGACGAGACGACUUCUGGCGGCCCCAGUCGGCGCCAAGCUAGGCCAGUACCCCACCAAGAGUCGCAAGCCGCGCAGCGGAGCUCUCCGUCCCCUUGGCCGUGGUGGCGAGGGCAGCACGCCUUGACCCCAGGGCAGAGGCUGUCAGGGCGAGUGCAGCGUCACGGCGACGGCGCGCGCACUGGCGACUUCUUUGUUGCGUUACCGCCGAACCCCGACAUGGUAGACGGCGCCGACAACGCGGCAGCGCCGCAUUGCCGCCCCACACUUUCAUCCUCGGCAACAGCAGUGGCGGCUGGCGGAGUCGGCAGUGCUGAUGACGGAGGAGGGCUGGCCCCCACUGCUUAUUCUAUUCCAGCAGCACCUACGUCUCCGCGGCUGUGCACUGCGCACCUUGCAACGACACGAGAACGUGCUGGCGGGCGCGCUGGAGCUGCGGCCGCAAAGAGUGCAACAUCGGGAUGCGCCACCGCGGGCCAACCUCUGCAUCGUGUCGCUGCCGCCGCGCCGGCCGCGUCGCCAGGAACUACCACUGCGGCCGAAGCGGCGACGCUGGCGAGGACAUGCACCGGCUCGGGGCUGACGGGAGUCACGGACUACUACGGCGCCUACCAGCGUACGCAGCAGCCUCGCAGCACGAAAAGUGGCCCGCCACCGCCUUCACAGACGUUUCGCUUUCAGCCCUCGAUGGUCAUCGGCUCGCAGUCGCCACAGGAUAGUGGAGGAAGGGAGGCAAGAGGGAGUACGGGCACUGCCAGUAGACCCGGCUCGCAGCCAGUGGCGGAGGCUGGCAUGGCACUUCCGGACACCGCUGCUGCUGCUGCGGCAGGUUCGCAGGAGCCGCGCCGCCACUACUUCCAGAGCGGAACGCCGCUGCAACGAUACAGCGAUGGAACGAAUGCCGCACUACGUGACUGUGGCGGGGUCAAGGGUGACUGCGGGCCGCAACGCGCGCCGCGACUGACUCGGUCAUUGCUCGACCAGCUGCAGCGGAGCUACGCCGCGGUAGCUGAUGCAUCGUCUCGACCGCGCUACCUACCCAUCGACUUUCCCUUGAAGGAGGCACUCGUGGCAAGUUGGCACGACGCAAUACACCACGGUGCCCACAGCGGCAACGAUCCUAAUACUACACCAGCGAUGCUGCAGCGCCCGCGGCCUUCAUCCCCGUCCCGCGGACAAUGUGUGGAGAACGUACCGGCUGUGCUUCCCCAGAAGUGAGUGAACGGUUGCGUAUUCCUGUCAUGGACCCGACUCGCCACCGCCGCAGCUGCAUGCCACCGUCGCUGCCACUCCCAUGGUCACCCGCUCCGAAUCACCAAUUGCCGCCCAGCCGGAUCUCCCCGCAGCGGCGCAGCAGGAGCGGCUUUAUAUGCAGCGGUGCACUUCCUCUUCACCCUCCCCCGUCCCCGUCGCACCACCGCUGGUGGUGCGUGAGAGUUACGGCGCCGUGCUGCGGACACCCCACCCGCAGGCGCUGCCGUUCUUGAUGUCCUCUCAACAAGCUCAGCCCCGUCUUCUCCGGCGCAACCUUGUGGAGCAGCCGACUUGCAAGCACACCGCCCGCUCGAGUGCCGGCACCCGUAGCUCUACAAGAGAUGACCUUUGCGCCAGCGAAGAUCCUGGCAACGCCUCCGUCGCUGGCAUCACUGGAGCAUCAGCAGACGCCUGUGCUGACCGCCGUCGCCACCGUGUCUGCCGGACCGCCACCAAUGCCCUGGUCCCCGAAAGGCAACGGCCCAGGUGCUAACAGUGGGACGCUGGGCGUCACAGAGGUUUUCCCCAGGCAAGGGUCAUCCGGACCGCGCAUUAGCAAUUUUUUUCAUCUCUUCCGAGAGUCCCAAGGGCAGCGGCGCGGGUCGCUUAUUGAUAAGCUCAACUGAAGUGCGUGACAGCGUGCAAGAGGCGAGGGCCAGUGAGGGAGGACGGUGCCGCACAGUGUGCACGCAUGCAAACUCCCCCCUUCCCCUCAACACUCACUCGACACCCACCCAGAGUUAAUCUUCCUUUCUUCGUUUGUGCGCUUGCCUUGUCUUGGUGUGUGUGUGUGUGUGUGUGUGUGUGUGUGUAUGUGACGCAUCUGGGCGCUCCUGCGCACCGCACAUUUCGGUUGCGCUCCUUCCCCCUUCAUUUCUGCCUGUCUCCUGCCCGCUGCGUUUCUCGAGGGUGUACCGCGCAAAGCCCCUCUCUUGUUUCCUGGUUUGCCGUCCCGGAUUGCGCCUCCGGUACUCUGUCACCAUGCGCGUGUGCGCGCGUCGUAUACACACAUACACACGCCAUGCAUCUACAUAUAUUUAUUUAUAUAUAUAUAUGUGUGUGUGUGUGCGUGUGUGUUGAUCUCUCCCCAUUCAUUGUUUGGCCAGCUCCUCCCGCCGUCUUGCAACAAGCGCAGCACGAUCACAGCGCCGCGCGAAACAAACAGACACCCCUGCUCGCUCUUGUACUUGCCCUGCGCUGUUAUUCCUCGGUGCGAGUCUCCCCACCGCUCUCGCUCUCCGGCGCGCGUGCGGCAUCUCUUUUCAGGCAUGCACGCAGGCUAUACCUUCCUCCGUCCUUUUCCGCCUGCCCCUCCUCCCCCACGCCCUUUCGCAGCGCUAGUCUUGCUGUGACACCGACCGCCUUCGAACUCGGCGCGCUCGCGAUGGUGCGCUACGCUGGAUCGCCCUCUCAAGCACACGCGUGCAUGCAAAACAUAGAGGGGAUGGCUCGCCGACGUGCGAGCCCGAGACGGAGCACGUCGGCAAUGCCCUGGAAAUCUACUCUUUCCAUUGCUGCGGAUCUCUUCGUGAUGGACCUCUCCCGUCUUUGCUCACGGGCCCUCGCAUUUUUCAGGUCGUUCUCGCAUCUGCUUCUCCCUCCUCCCCCGGAUCACCGCCGCACCACUCACGCAACGGCUUUCUUUUAUAUCUGCACGCCGCACACGUGUGUGCACUGUGCCUGCCCUCACCUUUCGUUCUCUGGCAUCGAUGCGUUUUGCGCCUCCAUCGCCGUGUGGUCACGCUUCGCCUCAUCUCCCGCCUCUGCGCGACUGCGCCUGUAAAG
rnacentral:misc_RNA from 1 species